rnacentral:rRNA from 1 species
ACUCCUACGGGAGGCAGCAGUGGGGAAUAUUGCACAAUGGGCGCAAGCCUGAUGCAGCCAUGCCGCGUGUGUGAAGAAGGCCUUCGGGUUGUAAAGCACUUUCAGCAGUGAGGAAGGCGGAGUCGUUAAUAGCGGCCUCGUUUGACGUUAGCUGCAGAAGAAGCACCGGCUAACUCCGUGCCAGCAGCCGCGGUAAUACGGAGGGUGCGGAGCGUUAAUCGGAAUUACUGGGCGUAAAGCGCAUGCAGGCGGCCUGUUAAGUCAGAUGUGAAAGCCCGGGGCUUAACCUCGGAAAUUGCAAUUUGAAACUAGGCAGGCUAAGAGUCUUGUAGAGGGGGGUAGAAUUUCAGGUGUAGCGGUGAAAUGCGUAGAGAU